rnacentral:rRNA from 1 species
UAAGGAAUAUUGGACAAUGGAGGAAACUCUGAUCCAGCCAUGCCGCGUGAAGGAUUAAGGCCCUAUGGGUUGUAAACUUCUUUUAUACGGGACAAAACCCCUCUACGUGUAGAGGGUUGAUGGUACUGUAAGAAUAAGGGUCGGCUAACUUCGUGCCAGCAGCCGCGGUAAUACGAAGGACCCAAGCGUUAUCCGGAUUUAUUGGGUUUAAAGGGUGCGUAGGUGGACUUAUAAGUCAGUGGUGAAAGCC